UUGCAUGCAGAAAAUGAUCAUCGAAAAAAUUAAGGAAGACCGUGAUAAACUAUUAAAAGAAGUGCAAGAACUCAACAAUGAAUUAUUUUCUACAUCUACUAAAGCCCGAAAAUAUGAGGAACAGCUUGAAAAGUAAGCAACAUUCGAUCUAUUAUUAUUAUGUUUUAUUAACGUCUGACGAAAAUUUAAGAAUUUUGAUUCCUUAAAUUAGUGGCGGUACGUGAAUACUUAUAUGAUUGUUAGGAGAUGUCUAUACAUAACUAAACAGAAACGUAUUAAACGAUCACUAUACUUAGUCAUACUAUAUCUUAUUGGUCAGUUUCCGAAAAAGACUGAUUUUCUUUCUCAAUCUCUUCCUCAUUUCUAGAUUUCUGUGUAUUUUUAGUUUUUGUGUUCUUUUUUUUUCUGCACAGUCUCUUUUUUUGUGUGAUAUAGGUACAUUAACAUUGAAUGCAGUUGCAUUUAACGUCCAAGUGUGUAGAAAUUGUCACAUCUUUUAUGACAAUUUUGGAGCAAUUAAGUCAUGAUUUUUUAGUUAUUCAACCUCCAAUAAUUUAAGUUGGUAAUAAUCAAUAUUGAAAAGCAUAUCCUUGAAACAGAAACAUUCAUUUUUAUUUGUUAUUUAAUUCCUCUGUCUAAUAAAAAACAGACCCUUCUAUGAGAUGAUUGAAUUGUUUUAGAGAAAAAUAUAGCCACCUUCAAUGAUAAUUCUCCUUUCGAUUUCAGGUUGAAGCUCUUGACCAUCAAAUAAAGGUACUCAAACAGUCGUCCAUUGAUAAUGAGGAGGAAUAUGCGAAAGCGAAACUAAUCAAUAAUGAUUUGUGUUCCAAAAUUUCAACAUUGGAACACCAGCUCAAAGAGUUGGAAGAAAAGAACGACGAAAGAAUCCUACAAGAACAGAUUAAAACCAAGGAAAUAGUUGAGAAACUUGAAUAUGAACAGCAAACGUUAUCGAAAGAAGCUGAUAGCAGGAUAUUCUCCUGUGAACAAAAGAAUGAACAGCAUAAAAAGGAACUUUGCAUACAGAAAAUGAUCAUCGAAAAAAUUAAGGAAGACCGUGAUAAACUAUUAAAAGAAGUGCAAGAACUCAACAAUGAAUUAUUUUCUACAUCUACUAAAGCCCGAAAAUAUGAGGAACAGCUUGAAAAGUUGAAGCUCUUGACCAUCAAAUAAAGGUACUCAAACAGUCGUCCAUUGAUAAUGAGGAGGAAUAUGCGAAAGCGAAACUAAUCAAUAAUGAUUUGUGUUCCAAAAUUUCAACAUUGGAACACCAGCUCAAAGAGUUGGAAGAAAAGAACGACGAAAGAAUCCUACAAGAACAGAUUAAAACCAAGGAAAUAGUUGAGAAACUUGAAUAUGAACAGCAAACGUUAUUGAAAGAAGCUGAUAGCAGGAUAUUCUCCUGUGAACAAAAGAAUGCACAGCAUAAAAAGGAACUUUGCAUGCAGAAAAUGAUCAUCGAAAAAAUUAAGGAAGACCGUGAUAAACUAUUAAAAGAAGUGCAAGAACUCAACAAUGAAUUAUUUUCUACAUCUACUAAAGCCCGAAAAUAUGAGGAACAGCUUGAAAACUUGAAGAAGACAGUGUUAGAUGAAGUUUCAAGAUGGAAACAGCUCUAUGGGUAUCUUCUGGGCUGGUACGCAGCUCAGUAAGUAUCGUGAAGUUUUUUGUGCCAAAAAUGAUAUAUGGUUCGGCUAGAGCAGCACGUUAUUUCAUCCCUACAAGAAUUACUAACUUGAUGUCGAAAUGUGUAGAAUUUGUCGAAAUUGUCACCUCCUUCAAGACAAUUUUGGAGCAAGUAAGUCAUGAUUUUUUUAGUCAUUACAAUUACAAUAAUACAAGUUGGUAAUAAUAAUCAAUAUUGAAAAGCAUAUCUUUGAAACAGAAACAUUCAUUUUUAUUUGUUAUUUAAUUCCUCUGUCUAAUAAAAAACAGACCUUUCUAUGAGAUGAUUGAAUUGUUUUACAGAAAAAUAUAGCCACCUUCAAUGAUAAUUCUCCUUUCGAUUUCAGGUUGAAGCUCUUGACCAUCAAAUAAAGGUACUCAAACAGUCGUCCAUUGAUAAUGAGGAGGAAUAUGCGAAAGCGAAACUAAUCAAUAAUGAUUUGUGUUCCAAAAUUUCAACAUUGGAACACCAGCUCAAAGAGUUGGAAGAAAAGAACGACGAAAGAAUCCUACAAGAACAGAUUAAAACCAAGGAGAUAGUUGAGAAACUUGAAUAUGAACAGCAAACGUUAUUGAAAGAAGCUGAUAGCAGGAUAUUCUCCUGUGAACAAAAGAAUGCACAGCAUAAAAAGGAACUUUGCAUGCAGAAAAUGAUCAUCGAAAAAAUUAAGGAAGACCGUGAUAAACUAUUAAAAGAAGUGCAAGAACUCAACAAUGAAUUAUUUUCUACAUCUACUAAAGCCCGAAAAUAUGAGGAACAGCUUGAAAAGUAAGCAACAUUCGAUCUAUUAUUAUUAUGUUUUAUUAACGUCUGACGAAAAUUUAAGAAUGUUGAUUUCUUAAAUUAGUGGCGGUACGUGAAUACUUAUAUGAUUGUUAGGAGAUGUCUAUACAUAAUUAAACAGAAACGUAUUAAACGAUCACUAUACUUAGAAAUAACCGACAGUUUCGUGUUCAUUCUGUAGCUUGAUGAAGACAGUGUUAGAUGAAGUUUCAAGAUGGAAACAGCUCUAUGGGUAUCUUCUGGGCUGGUACGCAGCUCAGUAAGUAUCGUGAAGUUUUUUGUGCCAAAAAUGAUAUAUGGUUCGGCUAGAGCAGCACGUUAUUUCAUCCCUACAAGAAUUACUAACUUGAUGUCGAAAUGUGUAGAAUUUGUCGAAAUUGUCACCUCCUUCAAGACAAUUUUGGAGCAAGUAAGUCAUGAUUUUUUUAGUCAUUACAAUUACAAUAAUACAAGUUGGUAAUAAUAAUCAAUAUUGAAAAGCAUAUCUUUGAAAGAGAAACAUUCAUUUUUAUUUGUUAUUUAAUUCCUCUGUCUAAUAAAAAACAGACCUUUCUAUGAGAUGAUUGAAUUGUUUUACAGAAAAAUAUAGCCACCUUCAAUGAUAAUUCUCCUUUCGAUUUCAGGUUGAAGCUCUUGACCAUCAAAUAAAGGUACUCAAACAGUCGUCCAUUGAUAAUGAGGAGGAAUAUGCGAAAGCGAAACUAAUCAAUAAUGAUUUGUGUUCCAAAAUUUCAACAUUGGAACACCAGCUCAAAGAGUUGGAAGAAAAGAACGACGAAAGAAUCCUACAAGAACAGAUUAAAACCAAGGAAAUAGUUGAGAAACUUGAAUAUGAACAGCAAACGUUAUUGAAAGAAGCUGAUAGCAGGAUAUUCUCCUGUGAACAAAAGAAUGCACAGCAUAAAAAGGAACUUUGCAUGCAGAAAAUGAUCAUCGAAAAAAUUAAGGAAGACCGUGAUAAACUAUUAAAAGAAGUGCAAGAACUCAACAAUGAAUUAUUUUCUACAUCUACUAAAGCCCGAAAAUAUGAGGAACAGCUUGAAAAGUUGAAGCUCUUGACCAUCAAAUAAAGGUACUCAAACAGUCGUCCAUUGAUAAUGAGGAGGAAUAUGCGAAAGCGAAACUAAUCAAUAAUGAUUUGUGUUCCAAAAUUUCAACAUUGGAACACCAGCUCAAAGAGUUGGAAGAAAAGAACGACGAAAGAAUCCUACAAGAACAGAUUAAAACCAAGGAAAUAGUUGAGAAACUUGAAUAUGAACAGCAAACGUUAUUGAAAGAAGCUGAUAGCAGGAUAUUCUCCUGUGAACAAAAGAAUGCACAGCAUAAAAAGGAACUUUGCAUGCAGAAAAUGAUCAUCGAAAAAAUUAAGGAAGACCGUGAUAAACUAUUAAAAGAAGUGCAAGAACUCAACAAUGAAUUAUUUUCUACAUCUACUAAAGCCCGAA